UUGAAACACUGGUUCUUGUAUGAUCACCGAAGUUAAGCAACAUUGAGGCUGGUCAGUACCUAGAUAGAUGACCACUUGGGAAUACCAGGUGCUGUAAG
rnacentral:rRNA from 1 species